AUGUUAACUAUCUCCCAUACCUCUCAUGAGUUUAUGGAAGACUUGAAGGAGGCAGAUUUGUGUGCUGCACUUGUUGUAAAGGGAGAAGAGCACCUGACUGUUGAAAUUCCAGCAAAGGUACGUGGUUUAUUGGUAGAAUUUCAGAACAUACUUGGGGAGCCACAUGGUUUGCCACCGAUGAGAGGAAUUCAACAUAGAAUUGACUUAAUUCCGGGAGCAAGUCUUCCUAGUCUUCCACACUAUCGAAUGAGCCCAAAGGAGCAUGAUAUAUUGAAGGAGAAAGUGGAGGAAUUGUUGCAAAAGGGGCACAUUCGAGAAAGUAUUAGCCCAUGUGCUGUACCAGCCCUGCUCGCGCCUAAGAAAGAUGGAUCUUGGCGCAUGUGUACGGACAGUAGAGCCGUUAACAAGAUCACUGUAAGGGAUGAGGAUGAACACUUUAAUCACAUUCGGAAGGUGCUAGAAGUACUAAGGGAAAAUGAGCUCUACGUCAACUUGAAGAAAUGUGUUUUCCUGCAAACACAACUUCUUUUCCUAGGAUUCGUCAUAACAUGUGAUGGCAUUCGUGUUGAUGAUUCUAAGGUUGAAGCAAUCCGAGAAUGGCCAACUCCUAAGACCAUUUCUGAGGUAAGAAGCUUUCAUGGCCUUGCAACUUUCUAUAGGCGAUUUGUGAAGAAUUUCAGCACUAUCAUGGCACCAAUUACCGAGUGUUUGAAGAAAGGAAAGUUCCAAUGGACAGAAGCAGCUGAAGCUAGUUUCAAUGAGAUUAAACAAAAGCUAUCACAAGCUCCUGUCUUGGUACUACCUGAUUUCAACAAGACUUUUGAGUUGGAGUGUGAUGCAAGUGGAGUAGGCAUUGGAGCUGUCCUAUCUCAAGAAAGGAAGCACAUUGCUUUUUUUAGUGAGAAGUUAAGUGAAGCUAGACAGAAAUGGAGUACCUAUCAGCAAGAAUUAUACGCCGUUUUCAGAGCGUUGAAAACUUGGGAAGUCUAUUUGCUGCCUAAAGAGUUCAUUGUUUAUAGCGACCAUCAAUCCUUGAAGCAUUUUAGAAAUCAAAAGCAUGUUGACCGCAUGCUAGCAAGAUGGGCAGCAUAUCUGGAGAGGUUUAACUAUCUCAUCAUGCAUAAAUCUGGAAUAACUAACAGAGUGGCCGAUGCUUUGAGUCGUCGUGCAUGCCUCUUGACUUCUUUUGAAGCUGAACUUCCGGGCAUGGAUCAAAUAAAGGAGUUUUAUGAGGGUGACGAAGACUUUGGCCAUGUUUGGGUAAAGCACGCAAGGGGCCAACCAUUAGGUGAUGACUAUUUGAUGCAAGAUGGAUAUCUCUUCAAAAAUGAUCGUUUGUGCAUUCCAAGAAGUUCUCUACGUGACAAGCUGGUUAGAGAGCUCCAUUCAAGUGAUCUUAGUGGCCAUGUUGGACAGGACAAGAUUGUUGCUAGCCUGGAAGCUCGCUACUUUUGGCCACAACUAAAGAGAGAUGCUGGAAAGUUUGUUCAGCGAUGCCCUAUAUGUCAAACCUACAAAGGCCAAGUCCAAAACACAGGGUUAUACAUGCCUUUGCCUGUUCCUGUCGCUCCAUGGGAGGACAUCUCUAUGGACUUCGUCUUGGGCUUGCCAAGAACAAGACGAGGGAGUGAUGUUGUGUUUGUGGUCGUGGACAUAUUCUCUAAGAUGGCUCAUUUCAUUCCAUGCGGCAAGACAACGGAUGCUCAUCAUGUGGCAAACCUAUUCUUUCGAGAAGUGGUCAGACUUCAUGGAGUUCCAAGAUGGACAAACGGAAGUGGUGAACAAGUUUUUGGGUAA
rnacentral:rRNA from 1 species